AUUGAACGCUGGCGGCAGGCCUAACACAUGCAAGUCGAGCGGCAGCGGGAAAGUAGCUUGCUACUUUUGCCGGCGAGCGGCGGACGGGUGAGUAAUGCCUGGGGAUCUGCCCAGUCGAGGGGGAUAACUACUGGAAACGGUAGCUAAUACCGCAUACGCACUACGGGGGAAAGCAGGGGACCUUCGGGCCUUGCGCGAUUGGAUGAACCCAGGUGGGAUUAGCUAGUUGGUGAGGUAAUGGCUCACCAAGGCGACGAUCCCUAGCUGGUCUGAGAGGAUGAUCAGCCACACUGGAACUGAGACACGGUCCAGACCCCUACGGGAGGCAGCAGUGGGGAAUAUUGCACAAUGGGGGAAACCCUGAUGCAGCCAUGCCGCGUGUGUGAAGAAGGCCUUCGGGUUGUAAAGCACUUUCAGCGAGGAGGAAAGGUUGGUAGCUAAUAACUGCCAACUGUGACGUUACUCGCAGAAGAAGCACCGGCUAACUCCGUGCCAGCAGCCGCGGUAAAAC
rnacentral:rRNA from 1 species